CACGGAGGGUGCGAGCGUUGUUCGGAUUUAUUGGGCGUAAAGGGCGCGUAGGCGGUCUUGCAAGUCCUGUGUGAAAUCCCUCGGCUCAACUGAGGAACUGCACAGGAAACUGCUUGGCUUGAGUUCGGGAGAGGGAAGCGGAAUUCCGGGUGUAGCGGUGAAAUGCGUAGAUAUCCGGAGGAACACCGGUGGCGAAGGCGGCUUCCUGGACCGACACUGACGCUGAGGCGCGAAAGCUAGGGGAGCAAACGGG
rnacentral:rRNA from 1 species